rnacentral:rRNA from 1 species
UACGUAGGUGGCAAGCGUUGUCCGGAUUUACUGGGCGUAAAGAGCGCGCAGGCGGUCGUUCAAGUCGCGUGUGAAAGCCCCCGGCUCAACUGGGGAGGGUCACGCGAUACUGAUCGACUCGAAGGCAGGAGAGGGUAGUGGAAUUCCCGGUGUAGUGGUGAAAUGCGUAGAUAUCGGGAGGAACACCGGUGGCGAAGGCGGUUCUCUGGGCAUUACCUGACGCUGAGGAGCGAAAGUGUGGGGAGCGAACAGG